AGACGACAAGUCCAGGCGGAUUUUUGUAUAUUUCUUGCGGAAGAAGGACGAGGUCUUCGCUAAGCGACAAAGAUAGAAAGGUAGAAAGAUAAAAUGUAUCCGGAGCAAUAAUGGUGGUGAGUUCGUCAAUAAUGUUUUUGAAGACUAUUUAAAGGCACAUGGGAUCGCUAGACAGCUGACUGUUCCACACACUCCCCAACAAAAUGGAGUUGCAGAACGAGCAAACCGCACGCUAGUAGAAAUGGCUAGGUGCAUGUUGCUGAAAUCGGAGUUGGGUGAGGCUCUAUGGGCUGAGGAACUGAUCAACGAGCAGAGCAUUACAAAGCAAAACCCCUAUGGAAGAGUGGACCGGAAAAAUACCAGCAGUG
ensembl:ncRNA lncRNA:CR46123 long non-coding RNA:CR46123